GGCUGGUCCGCAGGUGGUGCGUUAUCUCACUUGAUUGUUCACAGUCAAUUACAGAUUGAACUCCUUGUUCUACUACUUACCCCCUUCUCACUACUGCACUUCACUAGUCAAAA
rnacentral:Y_RNA from 1 species